UGGCUAUGUUAGGUGAUGGAGAAUUUAAAGGAAGGAGAAGUUCUUUUACUAUGCCUUGUGCUUUGGCUUUUCUUUUGUAAGUUAUAAUAUGUACUCUUGCUAUGUCCCAAUUCUAAUAGCAAAAUAUGACCUUUGUUGAUAAUUAUUAACAUGGCACAUGAGCACCCUUAGCAAGGCUUUUGAACUUGGCUUGCCAUUCAACUGUGGAAGGCAG
rnacentral:misc_RNA from 1 species